CAAGUGGGACGACCCGCCUGCGCUUCUGUUGUCUGGGGACGACCCCA
rnacentral:ncRNA from 1 species